UUUUGGGAGAAGGAUUUGUUUGAGAACGCCUAAAAGGGGUGAUGGGCAACUUCAAUAUGAGCAUGGCUCAGAAGAAAUCACCAUAAGGGGCUUGUUAUUCAAUGUCCCAGUGGACUUAUUCACUAACCAAAAAGAAAAAACUAAUGUAGGGACAAUGACGCUUCUUCCUCAUCCUCAUAUGUGGAGUUUUUCUUUGGGACUCACUAAAUGAGAGAGCGGCUAGGAUUUUUUACUAUUCUAAUAAUAGAUCAUUGAUCAUUAUUUUUAAAUACAAUUUAUAGUAAAUUAUGC
rnacentral:lncRNA from 1 species